UUUUGAAAAGUUUAGCCAAAAUAUUCUUGAACAUUUGUUAAACUUAUCAUUUGGUUUUAAAAAAAAAAGUUAGUUACUAUGGAAGCCAUAUCAACACCAAUAUCUAUAUGCCUCAACAUAUUAUGUCUUUAUAAAUAUAUUUUUUAGCUCAAAUGUUUGUGAUGACCAUAUGACUACAAAUAAAGAUGACAAAAUCUGUAAAAACAAUGUUCUGCAAUACGCAUUAUAGAACAUGUUUAAUAUAAUCCUUAUUUAUUGGAGUAAAUGUAUAGAUGUAUUUGAAAGAGUUCUUGAAAAUAAGUGUUCAACCCCUGUAAAUGCAUAAAUGGGAAGAACUCAAGUUUAAAAUAAUCAUAAUUGGACAUUAAAAUUCUAAUAACUUAUGAUUUGCAAUUUGUUUCUAAAUUUCUUAGCAAUCACAUAAAACAUUUAUUAU
rnacentral:lncRNA from 1 species